ensembl:lncRNA
GAGAGGGAGAGAGGGAUAGAGGGAGAGAGGGAGAGAGGGAUAGAGAGGUAGAGGGAGAGAGGGAGAGAGGGAUAGAGAGGUAGAGGGAUAGAGAGGUAGAGGGAGAGAGGGAGAGAGGGAUAGAGAGGUAGAGGGAUAGAGAGUUAGAGGGAGAGAGGGAUAGAGAGGUAGAGGGAUAGAGAGGUAGAGGGAGAGAGGGAGAGAGGGAUAGAGAGGUAGAGGGAGAGAGGGAUAGAGAGGGAGAGGGAGAGAGGGAUAGAGAGGUAGAGGGAGAGAGGGAGAGAGGGAGAGAGGGAUAGAGAGGUAGAGGGAGAGAGGGAGAGAGGGAUAGAGAGUGAAAGGGAGAGAGGGAUAGAGAGGUAGAGGGAGAGAGGGAGCGAUGGAGAGGGGGAUAGAGAGGUAGAGGGAGAGAGGGAUAGAGAGGUAGAGAGGGAUAGAGAUAGAGAUAGAGGGAGAGAGAGAGAGGGAUAGAGAGGGAGAGAGGGAUAGAGAG